GCAUAAUCAUUUUUAUCUAAAUGAUCUUGUAAACCAGUCAAGUCACCGCAAGACACUGCUGCAUGAAUCUUACGUAUUUUGGUCAUCACCUUUGGUAAAGUUUCAUGAAUAUAAUUUUGAAUAUCAGCUGAAGUUACUUCUUCCCCUUUAAGAGUAAAACGUUUGAUUUUUGGUUUUUUUGAGCAAAGUUAUAGUUAAAACAAGAGACAUAAUUAGAAAAGCAUUAGAAUUUAAAAUUAAAUAAUUUAAUCAACGAACAAGGAUUUCUAAAUUGAUGUAGCCGAUGUUGCUCGAGAUGUUGUUCAACUUCUCGAAAAAUGAGACGCAGUUCGCAAUGCAAAAACGAGACAAAGCACUAGGGACGAAGUGAAUGGUAUAUUGGAUAAAGCAAGAAAUACAGGGCAAAUGUAUUUUAGGGUCUACAAUGGCACCCAAAGGAUAAGCACGAAGCAAGCAAUUUGGUGACGCAAGUUUCGAAAAUUAAAAUUGAUUUUUGUACGAGAAAAAUAAUCCAUCAUUGAGGUCAUAAAUACUUGUCAGACAAAAAGAAAACAAAAUUGAAGCGUAAAGAAGAAAGAAACAAAAGCUUCUUUUACAUUGGUUUCAAUCCAAUUCGAUGUUCAUUCUUACCUCUUUUUCUAAAGCGUCUCACUGAUUUCAAUCGGACAGGUGAAGAUUUCUUCGACGAUGACUUCCUUUUCGUAGAUCUUUUAUUGUCUGGUAACUCGAACUUGCGUGUGGCUGAUUGUGGCUUAUUAUUCCUAAUCGGAGGCCAUACAGUUCGUAAGCCUCGUUGGUAACAACCUUGUGACUCUGUGAAAUCGUCAAUUGUAGACCACCGUUGAACCAAUAUUCGAGGAACAUUUUUUCUACGGCUAUUCUUUUUUCUUCUCAAUUUAAUAUCAACAGGAGCAUAUUUAUAUCGACUCUCAACACGAGGCUCUUUAUUGGAAGACGAAGACGAAGAAGGAAGAUGGAAUCUAUGAAAUUUAAUCAUGAUUGAACCGAAGUGGUACACAUACACAAGAUUUUAAUGAUUAAUUUUCCAUAUCGAAACUUGCGGUCACCAUAUUAUCAACUUCAAUCAAUUGCUAAAUCUUUGUGUUAUGCUAACGAAUCUAAUUAAAGUGAUGGUUUAUAACGGAAA